rnacentral:rRNA from 1 species
GACGAACGCUGGCGGCGUGCUUAACACAUGCAAGUCGUACGGUAAGGCCCUUUCGGGGGUACACGAGUGGCGAACGGGUGAGUAACACGUGAGUAACCUGCCCACAACUUUGGGAUAACGCUAGGAAACUGGUGCUAAUACUGGAUAUGUGCUCCUGCUGCAUGGUGGGGGUUGGAAAGCUCCGGCGGUUGUGGAUGGACUCGCGGCCUAUCAGCUUGUUGGUGGGGUGGUGGCCUACCAAGGCGGCGACGGGUAGCCGGCCUGAGAGGGUGACCGGCCACAUUGGGACUGAGAUACGGCCCAGACUCCUACGGGAGGCAGCAGUGGGGAAUAUUGCACAAUGGGCGCAAGCCUGAUGCAGCAACGCCGCGUGCGGGAUGACGGCCUUCGGGUUGUAAACCGCUUUCAGCAGGGACGAAGCUUUUUGUGACGGUACCUGCAGAAGAAGCACCGGCUAACUACGUG